GUGCUCGCUUUGGCAGCACAUAUACUAAAAUUGGCGCGAUGCGGACAUCAGCAUGGCCCCUGCGCAAGGAUGACCUGCGGACUCAGUGGACAGCCACAUUGUA
ensembl:snRNA U6 U6 spliceosomal RNA